GACGAACGCUGGCGGCGUGCUUAACACAUGCAAGUCGAACGCUGAAGCUCAGCUUUUGUUGGGUGGAUGAGUGGCGAACGGGUGAGUAACACGUGAGUAACCUGCCCCCUUCUUUGGGAUAACGCCCGGAAACGGGUGCUAAUACUGGAUAUUCACUGGUCUUCGCAUGGGGGUUGGUGGAAAGGGUUUUUCUGGUGGGGGAUGGGCUCGCGGCCUAUCAGCUUGUUGGUGGGGUGAUGGCCUACCAAGGCUUUGACGGGUAGCCGGCCUGAGAGGGUGACCGGUCACAUUGGGACUGAGAUACGGCCCAGACUCCUACGGGAGGCAGCAGUGGGGAAUAUUGCACAAUGGGCGCAAGCCUGAUGCAGCGACGCCGCGUGAGGGAUGGAGGCCUUCGGGUUGUGAACCUCUUUCGCUCAUGGUCAAGCCGCAACAAUGGUUGUGGUGAGGUUAGUGGGUAAAGAAGCGCCGGCUAACUACGUG
rnacentral:rRNA from 1 species